GACGAACCGUGCGAACGUUGUUCGGAAUCACUGGGCUUAAAGGGCGCGUAGGCGGGCUUUCAAGUCCGUGGUGAAAUCCCCCGGCUCAACCGGGGAACUGCCGCGGAUACUGGGAGCCUCGAGGGGUGUAGGGGCAUGCGGAACUUCGGGUGGAGCGGUGAAAUGCGUAGAUAUCCGAAGGAACGCCGGUGGCGAAAGCGGCGUGCUGGACACCUUCUGACGCUGAGGCGCGAAAGCCAGGGGAGCAAACGGG
rnacentral:rRNA from 1 species